GUGAGGAGUUGCGCUGCUGCCUCUGAGAGCUCCACCUCCGUGGCUUUUGGGCCCCGGCCUGUGGCGGCGUGCGGCGGCCGCUGGAGGCGGGCGGCGGCUGUGGCGGCGGCAGCAGAAGGCUUGCCCGGGUCUCCCUCGCUCCUUUCAGGGCCCGGAGAGGGGAUCCGCCAUAUUGGAGCCGGAGCCGAGAGUUCCUUGGAGCGGCGGAGCGAGGCGGGUGGAGGUGGUGGCCCUAGCCUCGACCUGGGAGGAGUCGGCUGUGUCUGGGCCCGCAAGGCUGGGGAGUGAAUGAGCCGCUCGGACUAGUCUCCUCCCCGCCCACUCCCUCCACUUUCUGCCGCCUGGACCAGGCCGGGAGGGGGUCGGAGCCGGCCGUGGCAGGAUGUUCUCCAAGAAGCCCCACGGGGACGUGAAGAAGUCCACCCAGAAAGUGCUGGACACCAAGAAGGACGCACUGACCCGCCUGAAGCACCUGCGCAUCGUCAUCGAGAAUGCAGAAUCUAUUGAUCUUAAACAGUUUUUUGACCAACAGUUUUCACAUAUAUACUAUGUGUUCUUUGAAAAUUUUGUGACUAUUGAAGCUAGUCUUAAACAGAAAGGUCACAAGUCUCAAAGGGAGGAAUUGGAUGCUAUACUUUUUAUUUUUGAGAAAAUUUUACAACUUCUUCCAGAAAGAAUUCAUCAGCGAUGGCAGUUUCAUAGUAUUGGAUUGAUUUUAAAGAAACUACUACACACAGGAAACUCCUUAAAGAUUAGGCGGGAAGGUGUUCGUCUUUUUUUAUUAUGGUUGCAAGCUCUUCAGAAUAACUGUAGCAAAGAACAGCUUUGGAUGUUUUCAUGCUUAAUCCCUGGAUUUUCAGCACCACAAUCUGAACAUGGACCUCGAACUUUAGAUAAUCUCAUUAAUCCUCCACUCAACCUUCAAGAGACUCAAGUUACUAUAGAGGAAAUCACUCCUCUUGUUCCCCCACAAUCAGGAGAUAAAGGACAAGAAGAUCUCACGAGCUAUUUUCUUGAAGCACUUUUAAAAUAUAUAGUAAUUCAGGUAAAAAGUUUAGAAUGGAAGAACAAAGAAAAUCAAGAAAGGGGAUUUUCAUUUUUGUUUUCACAUUUUAAGAAAUAUUACUUGCCUUAUAUUUUUCCAAACAUCUGCAAGGAGUACAGUUUAUAUCAUCCUGUACUUGAUAUCCCACAGAUGAGACCAAAGCCACAUUAUGUCAUGAUAAAAAAGGAUGCUGAAACCAAUGAAGCAAUCUAUUGUACAAAGGAGCCUUUCAUUAAGGCUCGUGUUAUUGUCAUUCGUUGGCUGGUUUCUUUCUGGCUGGAGCCAAAACCCCAUACAGGACCUCAUAUUCCUGGGAUGGAAGGUGAAGUCUUGCCAAAGAAUAUUCAGAGAGCAGCCGCUAGUUUGGUAUCCAGAGAAGAAAAUAGAAAUGAUAAUGCUGAUAAAGCAGACAGAACUACAGAACCAGAACAGUCUCAUUCUAAUACAAGCACUCUCACGGAGCGAGAACCCAGCUCAUCUAGUCUCUGUAGUAUUGAUGAAGAACAUCUCACAGACAUUGAAAUAGUUCGCAGAGUUUUUUCUUCCAAAAGAAGUAAUGUAAACUUUGUCACCGAGAUAUUUCGUCAGGCAUUUUUAUUACCAAUUUGUGAAGCAGCAGCUAUGAGAAAAGUGGUUAAAGUGUAUCAAGAAUGGAUCCAGCAAGAGGAAAAACCUUUAUUUAUGCAAGAGCCUGAAGAAAUUAUGUUCACUUCUUCAGACCUACCUUGCAUUGAAAAUGUCACAGACCAUGACAUUUCAGUGGAAGAAGGAGAAAAAAGAGAAGAGGAAAAUGGGACCAAUGUUGCUGAUCAUGUUCGAAAUUCUGGUUGGGCAAAAAAUGGCUCCUACCAAGAUGUUCUUCAUAAUGCCUCUGAAGAAGCAACAGAACAAAAUAUACGAGCUGGUACCCAGGCAGUUUUACAGGACAAUGAGGUGAUAGUGAGCACCCUUCUCUUGUUCUUGGCGUUUGGCUGUACUUCUCACGUUCUGUUGCUGUGCGUACAUUUGUUAUACUUUUUGGUGUUUAUUAUAAAUUCAUCAAACAUAUUUCUUCUUGAACCUGCAAAUGAAAUAAAAAAUCUUCUGGAUGAGCACACAGAUAUGUGUAAACGCAUUCUUAACAUUUAUCGGUACAUGGUUGUGCAAGUAUCAAUGGACAAAAAGACUUGGGAACAGAUGCUGCUUGUGUUGCUCAGAGUCACGGAGUCUGUACUGAAGAUGCCAUCACAAGCUUUUCUACAGUUCCAGGGGAAAAAAAAUAUGACCUUGGCAGGUCGACUUGCAGGACCACUUUUCCAGACUCUUAUAGUUGCCUGGAUCAAAGCAAAUCUAAAUGUGUACAUCUCCCGAGAACUUUGGGAUGACUUACUGUCAGUUUUGUCAUCGUUGACCUAUUGGGAAGAGUUGGCCACUGAAUGGUCACUGACUAUGGAAACAUUAACUAAAGUUUUAGCUAGGAAUUUAUAUAGUUUGGAUCUCAGUGAUUUGCCAUUGGAUAAGCUGAGUGAACAGAAGCAAAAAAAGCACAAAGGGAAAGGAGUUGGACAUGAAUUUCAGAAAGUUUCGGUUGACAAGUCAUUUUCUAGAGGAUGGAGUCGUGAUCAACCUGGCCAAGCCCCAAUGAGACAGAGAAGUGCAACAACCACUGGUUCCCCAGGAACUGAAAAGGCAAGAAGUAUAGUACGGCAAAAAACUGUUGCCAUGAGAAGCCGAUCCAUUGGUGAAUGUGCUCUGCCAUCGGCCUAUAUACGCAGUGCUAAAAGUGCUCCUGUUCUGAUCCAUACUUCCAAACCCUUCUUGCCUGAUAUUGUUCUCACUCCCCUUUCUGAUGAGCUUUCAGAUAUUGAUGAUGCUCAAAUACUUCCCCGCUCAACUAGAGUUCGACAUUUUUCACAAAGUGAAGACACUGGAAAUGAAGUUUUUGGUGCUUUGAAUGAGGAGCAGCCAUUGCCUCGAAGUAGCAGCACUUCUGACAUCUUGGAACCAUUCACUGUUGAACGAGCCAAAGGUGCAGUUCCUGUCAUUGACAGUUCAUCUCGUCAUGCACCAAGCUUGCAGAGUUCCACAGAGUCUUCUUCAAUAACUAGAUCCACUGAAAGCCACAUCACUGAUACUCAUAGCAGGGAGUCUUCUCUGGAAGUUGGUGAUAGCAUAUAUGACCAUCUUUGUCAUUUAAUAGGUCCAGUAGAACUUGCAGAUUCAGCUUUUGAACAAAUCCAGUACAUUGACCUUGAAGGAGAUGACGAUCUUCUUUCCUCUCUGAAAGAAUAUUUUAAGGAAAAUCAUAGUAAAAGUGAGAUAGGUAAAGAUGCAGCCUCUCAGGAAAUAAUUAUUGCAGUAAAUAGGGAUGAAAGAUCAUCCUUAGAUAAAUUAGAAUACAUAGAUCAGGAAAUUAUAUCAGAAAAUAUCACCUCUUUUGUUGGGACACCUGAAGACGUACAGUUUCAAAAAGAACCAAAUUCAGCUGUCUUCGUGACACCUAACCAGUCAGACAGUUUUAUGAGAACACAGACUUCUGAAAAAUCUGAACAACUAAACAGUGAUAAACAGUCACCAGAGCCUAGUUUAGAUAUCUCUUGUGAUAAAGAAAAAAGGAAAUCCCUGUAUAGACAAACAACCACAGAAUUAGAUGCCUGUGUAGAUAUAACACUAGUUGAAAAGCUUAAGGGUGUGCAAAUGAAUGAAAAAGUUACUGUUCCACAUGUUGUGCAUGCCAAGAAAACUACACUAAAAGCACCCCUUAACCGUAGAAUGCCUCAUGUUACAAACACUAGCAAGCUUUCUCCAACUAAAAGGAGCUUGUCUGAAACAGUAACUCAUAGAGCCAAAAUUAUGAAAAUUGCUACUAAAAAGCGAAAUAGUGUUCAUGUUACUUUUAGACCAUCUACCGAGUCAGUUCAAUUUUAUAAUCCUCUGGAAAACAAAGAGGCACCCUGGAAAAUGAGACUGCGGAAACUCAGUGGCUUUAGUAGUAGUAGCAAUAGCAGUACCAACAACACCCAUACCAGCUCCAGUAGUGGUACAGAGCUAGUAAAACCUGGUGUAUACAGGCCUCUAGAUGCAAUUAGUGCAGCAUCAGUAUGUAGUAAAAUAGUGAAGGAAUCCACAGAGAUUCCCACCACUGCAUUACAAAAAGAAGGAAUUGCAAGUAACCAGUUAGGUAGUCGUAGUACUCUUAGGUCAUCAAGUCAUGAGGCAGGACUACAGCAGGGCUCCCUGGGUGGCGUUUAUAAAUCUGUUGUACAUGCUCUUUCGAAGCCGAAGGCAAAUGUUUCCCCACAGAGGCAGAACAGAAUCCCACCAGAGGCUCCACUGAGGGAUCUGUACAGUCAUGUAAUGGGCUAUUUUGGAAGGAAAGCUGCAGUCAAUAAAGAGGACAUGAGCCCCAAACUACCUCCUCUUAAUAGUGAUAUUGGCAGCAGUAGUGCUAACGUUCCUGAUCUGAUGGAUGAGUUUAUAGCAGAACGACUUCGAAGUGGUAAUGCCUCGACCAUGACAAGAAGAGGAAGUAGUCCAGGCAGCCUCGAAAUUCCCAAAGACCUCCCUGAUAUUCUAAACAAGCAGAACCAGAUGCGCCCUAUUGAUGACCCAGGUGUGCCCUCCGAGUGGACUUCUCCUGCCAGUGCAGGGAGCAGUGAUCUUAUCAGCUCAGAUAGUCAUUCGGAUUCUUUCAACGCUUUCCAAUAUGAUGGCCGAAAAUUUGACAACUUUGGCUUUGGAGCUGACACUGGGAUUGCAUCCUCUGCUGAUAUGGAUUCUGGUUCUGGUCAUCAUCACAGUGUUGAAGAGCAGGAAUUGGCUAGUCUAACCACGCUUCAUAUAGAUUCUGAAACAAGCAGCCUUAACCAGCAAGCUUUCUCUGCUGAGGUUGCAACAGUUACUGGUUCAGAAAGUGCUUCCCCAGUCCAUUCAGCUUUGGGAUCCAGGUCACAGACACCUUCCCCUUCCACACUGAAUGUAGAUCACAUGGAACAGAAGGAUCUACAGCUUGAUGAGAAGCUUCACCAUUCUGUUCUUCAGACACCAGAUGAUCUAGAAAUCAGUGAAUUUCCAUCUGAAUGUUGUAGUGUGAUGGCAGGUGGUACUCUCACUGGAUGGCAUGCUGAUGUUGCUACUGUAAUGUGGCGAAGAAUGCUAGGCAUUUUGGGAGAUGUCAAUGCUAUUAUGGAUCCUGAAAUACAUGCUCAAGUUUUUGAUUAUCUCUGUGAACUUUGGCAGAAUCUAGCUAAGAUUAGAGACAACCUCGGCAUUUCAACUGAUAACCUGACCUCCCCUUCUCCACCAGUUUUGAUUCCUCCACUGAGAAUUCUUACACCUUGGCUUUUUAAGGCAACCAUGUUGACUGAUAAAUAUAAACAAGGUAAAUUACAUGCUUAUAAACUUAUUUGUAAUACAAUGAAAAGAAGACAAGAUGUAUCUCCAAACAGAGAUUUUCUAACACAUUUCUACAAUAUAAUGCAUUGUGGAUUACUUCAUAUUGAUCAGGAUAUUGUCAAUACAAUCAUCAAGCACUGCUCACCUCAAUUUUUUUCACUUGGUUUGCCUGGUGCCACAAUGCUUAUUAUGGAUUUUAUCCUAGCAGCUGGUAGAGUGGCUUCUUCUGCUUUUCUCAAUGCACCAAGAGUGGAAGCACAAGUUCUUCUGGGAUCUUUGGUUUGCUUUCCCAACUUAUGUUGUGAACUACCUGCUCUCCAUCCCAAUGUUCCUGAUAUUGCUGUGUCUCAAUUUACAGAUGUUAAGGAACUUAUAAUUAAAACUGUAUUAAGCUCAGCAAGAGAUGAGCCCUCUGGUCCUGCACGAUGUGUAGCACUUUGCAGUUUAGGUAUUUGGAUUUGUGAAGAACUAGUUCAUGAGUCUCAUCAUCCUCAAAUUAAGGAAGCUCUGAAUGUAAUUUGUGUUUCCUUAAAGUUUACUAAUAAAACAGUAGCUCAUGUAGCUUGUAACAUGCUUCACAUGCUGGUUCAUUAUGUACCUAGACUUCAGAUUUACCAGCCAGGUUCUCCCUUGAAAAUUAUUCAAAUCCUAAUAGCCACUAUUACCCAUCUUUUGCCAAGUACAGAAGCUUCAUCUUAUGAAAUGGACAAGAGGUUGGUGGUAUCCUUACUUCUCUGCCUUCUAGACUGGAUCAUGGCCUUACCUCUGAAGACACUGCUCCAACCGUUCCAUGCUACAGGAGCAGAAAAUGAUAAAACAGAAAAAUCUGUUCUCAAUUGCAUUUAUAAGGUUUUACAUGGGUGUGUUUAUGGAGCUCAGAGUUUUAGCAAUCCAAGGUAUUUUCCAAUAAGCCUCUCUGAUUUGGCAUCUGUAGAUUAUGAUCCUUUUAUGCAUUUGGAAAGUCUGAAAGAACCUGAACCUCUACACUCUCCUGAUUCAGAACGAUCUUCUAAACUCCAGCCAGUAACAGAAGUGAAAACUCAAAUGCAACAAGGAUUAAUCUCCAUAGCAGCCCGCACUGUAAUUACGCAUCUGGUAAAUCAUUUGGGCCAUUAUCCAAUGAGCGGUGGUCCUGCUAUGUUAACAAGUCAGGUGUGUGAAAAUCACGACAAUCAUUACAGUGAAAGUACUGAACUUUCUCCUGAACUCUUUGAGAGUCCAAAUAUCCAGUUCUUUGUGUUGAACAAUACAACCUUAGUGUCCUGUAUCCAGAUCAGAUCAGAAGAGAGUAUGCCUGGAGGAGGUUUAUCUGCUGGCCUUGCAUCAGCCAAUUCAAAUGUCAGAAUCAUAGUACGAGAUCUCUCUGGAAAGUAUUCAUGGGAUUCUGCCAUACUAUAUGGACCACCUCCUGUAAGUGCCUUGUCAGAACCUACAUCUUUCAUGCUUUCAUUGUCUCACCAAGAGAAGCCAGAAGAGCCUCCUACAUCUAAUGAAAGCUUAGAAGAUAUAGCAGUAGAAGAUGGACUUUCCCUCCAAUUUAAAAGAUUUAGAGAAACUGUACCAACUUGGGAUACAAUAAGAGAUGAAGAAGAUGUUCUUGAUGAGCUCUUGCAGUAUUUGGGUGUUACUAGUCCUGAAUGCUUACAGAGAACUGGCAUCUCACUUAAUAUUCCAGCUCCACAACCUGUGUGCAUUUCUGAAAAACAGGAAAAUGAUGUUAUUAACGCUAUCCUUAAGCAACAUACAGAGGAAAAAGAAUUUGUUGAGAAGCACUUUAAUGACUUAAACAUGAAAGCUGUGGAGCAAGAUGAACCAACACCUCAAAAACCUCAGUCAGCAUUUUAUUAUUGCAGACUGCUUCUUAGUAUAUUAGGAAUGAAUUCCUGGGACAAACGGAGGAGCUUUCAUCUCCUGAAGAAAAAUGAAAAGCUACUCAGAGAACUUAGGAACUUGGAUUCGAGGCAAUGCCGAGAGACACACAAGAUUGCAGUAUUCUAUGUUGCUGAAGGACAAGAAGACAAACACUCUAUUCUCACCAAUACAGGAGGAAGUCAAGCAUAUGAGGAUUUUGUAGCUGGUCUUGGUUGGGAGGUAAAUCUCACAAACCAUUGCGGUUUUAUGGGAGGACUACAGAAAAACAAAAGCACUGGAUUGACCACUCCAUAUUUUGCUACCUCUACAGUAGAAGUUAUAUUUCAUGUAUCAACAAGAAUGCCUUCUGAUUCUGAUGAUUCUUUGACCAAAAAAUUGAGACAUUUAGGAAAUGAUGAAGUGCACAUUGUUUGGUCAGAGCAUACUAGAGACUACAGGAGAGGAAUUAUUCCUACAGAAUUUGGUGAUGUCCUUAUUGUAAUAUAUCCAAUGAAAAAUCACAUGUUCAGUAUCCAGAUAAUGAAAAAACCAGAGGUUCCCUUUUUUGGUCCACUUUUUGAUGGUGCUAUUGUGAAUGGAAAGGUUCUACCCAUUAUGGUUCGAGCAACAGCUAUAAAUGCAAGCCGUGCUCUGAAAUCGCUGAUUCCAUUGUAUCAAAACUUCUAUGAGGAGAGAGCACGGUACCUGCAAACAAUUGUCCAGCACCAUUUAGAACCAACAACAUUUGAAGAUUUUGCAGCACAGGUUUUUUCUCCAGCUCCCUACCAUCAUUUACCAUCUGAUGCCGAUCAUUAAAUAUCAGUUCUGUUUAUCUGAAGAAAGAAAUGCAGUGAUAGUUCUCUUCCUCCCAAAACCUCCGCUAGAAAACAUUGGCCAUCUCAAGGCUCCUAUGCAGAGGUUCUACCCAGCGAAACUCCCACAGCAACGCAGGUAGAUGGGGCUGACCUGGCCUCUCCAAUGUCUCC